AACGAACGCUGGCGGCAUGCCUAACACAUGCAAGUCGAACGAGACCUUCGGGUCUAGUGGCGCACGGGUACGUAACGCGGGGGAACCUGCCAUUAGGUUCGGAAUAACUCCCAGAAAGGGGUGCUAAUACCGGAAAAUGUCUUCGGACCAAAGAUGUAUCGCCUUUGGAUGGGCCCGCGUUGGAUUAUCUAGUUGGUAAGGAAAAAGCCUACCAAGGCGGCGAUCCUUACCUGGUCUGAGAGGAUGAUCAGCCACACUGGGACUGAGACACGGCCCAGACUCUUACGGGAGGCAGCAGUGGGGAAUAUUGGACAACGGGCGAAAGCCUGAUCCAGCAAUGCCGCGUGAGUGAUGAAGUUCUUAGGGUUGUAAAGCUCUUUUACCAGGGAUGAUAAUGACAGUACCGGGAGAAUAAGCUCCGGCUAACUCCGUG
rnacentral:rRNA from 1 species